UAAUAAAUAAUCUUAAGGAGGGAUAAUGAAUAAUUUCAAGGAGCUUAUCUGUGAUUUAUAGUACUUUGGUAAUGGAGUUUAUAAAUUCUAGAAAGAAAUGUUUUCUUUAUUCAUAUACUGAUGAUUAUAGUUACUUUGACCUUGUGACUAGUAGUUUCUUAAGACGUUCAAAAAUUGACAAAUGUUUGGAGCAAAAAAAAAUGCUACAAAUUAGUAUAUAAUUUUUUAUUUUAAAUCUAAGUAGAAGUUGGAGCAGUAACACUCCAAGUUAUUUGUGGGAGGAUAUAGCCUUAAAGGUGAUUUCAAAAGAAAGAAUUUUGGAGUUUAAGAAAAUUAAAAUAUCAGGUAUGGAUUGCUGAGCUUCCAAUCCUGACCUGGUUAUCUCGCCUGUGAUGCUGGGCAAGUUAUUGCAUUGAAACCUCUGAAAGCCUUAGAUUCCACAACU